AGGUCUCAAAGAUUUGGAUUAGUAAGAAUGGUAACAACAUGCUUCUUCCGUCUUAUGCAUCAAAAUUAAAGUGAGUGAACAGUGAUAAAUUCUAAUAUACUCCAAUGAUCAGUGAAUCGUAUUUUAUUACAUAGUCCACAAAAUCAGAUCCUUAACAUGGCACCUCUUACUCCUAAUUAGCUUUAAAAAUAAUAGCAUUUUGUGAACGUGCUUUCUGGAGUGGAGAAUAGCAGGUAGCAGACACUAGACACCGGGAGAAAGAUUACACGGUUUAACAAUUUUUCUUCUUCUAUGAAUAGGAAAGUCUUAAGUAUACUCUGCUAAAUCGAAUUUCUUUUAUUUUAUUAGAGUCCUAAUGUUUAGAUUUUACUAUUCCUAAAGUCUUGACAGAAAGAGUUCAAAGAAAUCACAGCAAUUUCCAAGUUGUUCCAUUGCUUAAAGGCAUAAAUUAUUAGAGGUGAGACAACGUAGCACACUUGACAUGGUGAAUUCCUAUAGUCAUCGUAACCAAGUGUUGAAAGAAUGUCUCUUUACUAAAUAAGAGGAUCCUGUAAUCUAGACAUAUAGUAGCUAAUUACUCUUUCAGUCAAUAUGCUUCCUGCAACAUUGGAACAAGAAAAUAAUAACUUAUAAUCAUGUCAUGAAUACAUGAACAAAGGUAAUCAACGCAAAGACCUAAUAUCAGUAAACUAAUUUAUUCACAUAGGCAAGCAAUUGACUUCUUAUUUUCUUCAAGAUUUAUGCAAACAUACCACUUAACUUCACAGCUUUUAUGCAUAUAAAACCUCUUAAUAAUGACUUCUAUGGUAAUAAACUGACUCGUGUUUCGAACAAAUAGACGAUCAUUUCAGAUUUUCAAAAAAAAUGAGAUAAAGAUUUCAGAGUUACUGACUUUUUGUGGUGCAGGAACCAGGGUUGCGUCAAGGUCUGCUAUAAGCUCCGCAACCUCGAAUGACAUCUAAACAUAAUUUUAUAGUAAUAGGGUUGAGUCAAGGUCUGCUAUACUGGCCUCUACUCCGCAACCUCGAAUGACAUCUAAAC
rnacentral:lncRNA from 1 species